rnacentral:lncRNA from 1 species
UGGGCAGCUAGAGGGAGAGAAUGGUGUUCAAAGGGGGUUUGGAGCCGUUUGGGGGAGUGCAAAAUGAGUAGGUGUCGGUUCUACCACCGGCCCUAGCUUGGAUUUAUAAAGGGGCAGGUUGCGGGCGGUGCUACCGCACUUAUUUGCUAGCGGUGCUACUGCCUACAACAUUUGUUUGCUGGCGGUGCUACCGCCUACAACAGGUUCCAGCUGGGUGGUGCUACUGCCAGCUGGGGCGAUGCCACCGCCUACAGGCUGU